rnacentral:lncRNA from 1 species
AUGUCAAUACCCAGCCUUGCACCUUGCUCAUCCUCACCCCAACCUGCUGAGUUGCCUCCUCAGCUUGGCCUCCACCCUGUCUCAUCACCAUGGGCCUGCCUGGUGAUCCCUGGGUGGUGGCUGACACCAGGUACACUGCCAUCACCGAACACCGCUGCACUGGAUCCUCUUGGAAAGAUGUGUUGGAUGGCUUUAGAGCCUGGAUCCAUGGAUGAUGUGAGUGUCCAGGAGGUCUUCUGUGGCUUACAGACUCUGCUGGGAGGUAAUUCCUAG